GAAGGAUUAGUUAAUAUAUAACAUCAGAAUGUCAAACUGAAGUAAUCAAAAGAUAUCCUUUU
rnacentral:tRNA from 1 species